ACAUUUUAGUCNAACGUGNAGCCACCUUCGGGUGGUGGAAAGUGGCGGACGGGUGAGUAACGCGUGGGAACGUGCCUUUCGGUUCGGGAUAACCCAGGGAAACUUGGGCUAAUACCGGAUACGCCCUCCGGGGGAAAGAUUCAUUGCCGAAAGAUCGGCCCGCGUCGGAUUAGCUAGUUGGUGGGGUAAUUGCCUACCAAGGCGACGAUCCGUAGCUGGUCUGAGAGGAUGAUCAGCCACACUGGGACUGAGACACGGCCCAGACUCCUACGGGAGGCAGCAGUGGGGAAUAUUGGACAAUGGGCGCAAGCCUGAUCCAGCCAUGCCGCGUGGGUGAAGAAGGCCCUAGGGUUGUAAAUCCCUUUCAGCGGGGAAGAUAAUGACGGUACCCGCAGAAGAAGCCCCGGCUAACUCCGUGCCAGCAGCCGCGGUAAUACGGAGGGGGCUAGCGUUGUUCGGAAUUACUGGGCGUAAA
rnacentral:rRNA from 1 species